rnacentral:lncRNA from 1 species
CGGAAUCGUGAUGGAAGCGCGGUUCCAGAAAAUUGAAGAUUGGAAGCUUCUGGGAAGCGUUCGAUUCGGACUUGGAAGCGUGGUUUUUUUAUCAACGGAAGCGCAGCCUUCCCACAGAAACCCACCCGUCGUUUAUCCUCACAAACUAAUCCAGAGAGUAGUGAAUCAAGAAGAAGUACGUACCUCCGGUGAACAGAUCUGACGUGGAGAUCACAAGAGAGUAGAGAGAAGACGCAAAGCUCAAAACUUUCUGUUAUAGACUCGUAAAAGGGAAGUGAAUGAAGAAGAAGAUACAGAGCCAACAUGAAAGACCCUUUUACCCUUCUAGUUGUGACUAAUUACUGAUACCCACAACUUGUGCUUCUCACGUGUCAAUGGAGAGAGGUUGUCUUGAAACCUCUGAUUGCUUGAGAGUCUUCAUGACACCAAAACCUACACUCUUUUCAAGUUGUCUUCGGUGGUUUCAGUUUUAGAUCUAAUCGGCGACUCUUCUCUCAAGUCAGUCUCCGACAAAUUUAUUGAAAGGAAUCUGACUACCACAAGCCAUAUUUGGGCUUUAAUUUUUUUAUUCUUUUAAGUCUAAUUUUGUUUAAAUGGCCCGUUUUUAUUUGCGUUUUUAUUCUUUUAUUAAGACAUCCAAAAUAUUUUAUUGUUAACAAUGCAUUUCUUACUUUUGAUGACUAUAUUUAUUAUUCUACAUGUUAUGUAUUUCGUUUGGUUUAAAAUUUUCUCAAUUAUCAUGCAUAUCCAAUGGUUAGUGUAGAGUAAAUUAAAUAUUUAAUAAAUCUAUAUAUAUAUAUAUAUGUAUAUAUUUACGCUUCUAACACGUACCCGCUUCCUAACUUUUUUAAAAAACUCGUUUCCCCGCUUCCAAACGCUUCCGCUUCC